rnacentral:tRNA from 1 species
UGGUAAUGGGGGACGGCCCCCGUAAACGGGUCUACAGCCCGCCACCUACUCUCGGCCACAC